rnacentral:rRNA from 1 species
GACGAGGGCGCGAGCGUUGUCCGGAAUUAUUGGGCGUAAAGAGCUCGUAGGCGGUUCGUCGCGUCGGCUGUGAAAACCCGAGGCUCAACCUCGGGCCUGCAGUCGAUACGGGCGGACUGGAGUUCGGCAGGGGAGGACUGGAAUUCCUGGUGUAGCGGUGAAAUGUGUAGAGAGUCGGGAGGAACACCGGUGGCGAAGGCGGGUCUCUGGGCAUUUCCUGACGCUGAGGCGCGAAAGCGUGGGGAGCAAACGGG